rnacentral:tRNA from 1 species
GCCUGGGUGGUUCAGUCAGUGAAGCAUCUGACUUCAGCUCAGGUCAUGAUCUCGUGGUUCGUGGGUUCUAGCCCUAUCUUGGGCU